UCUUGUAACGGAAGUGGUAAUGCUGGAUGCUCCAACUUGACGCAUGUCUUGUUGGGAAAGUGUUUAGUGGCAUGGGAUGGGGUCGCGUCCUAUCAGCUUGUAGGCGGGGUAAUGGCCCACCUAGGCUUCGACGGGUAGCCGGCCUGAGAGGGCGGACGGCCACAUUGGGACUGAGAUACGGCCCAGACUCCUACGGGAGGCAGCAGC
rnacentral:rRNA from 1 species